GACUCUCAGCGGUGGAUCACUCAUUUCUCAGGUCGAUGAAGAACGCAGCCAGCUGCGAGACUUGGUGUGAAUCGGGACACACUGAGCACUAGCUCUUUGAACGCCAAUCGCGGCCUCUGGCCUUCCCGUGGUUUCAUCUGUGGGAGGGUCG
rnacentral:rRNA from 1 species